ensembl:snRNA U6 U6 spliceosomal RNA
GUGCUGGCUUCAGCAGCACAUGUACUAAAAUUGGAACGAUACAGAGAUUAGCAUGGUCCCUGCACAAGGAUGACAUGCAAAUUUGUGAAGUGUUCCAUAUUUUU